rnacentral:rRNA from 1 species
GACUCUCGGCAACGGAUAUCUCGGCUCUCGCAUCGAUGAAGAACGUAGCGAAAUGCGAUACUUGGUGUGAAUUGCAGAAUCCCGUGAACCAUCGAGUCUUUGAACGCAAGUUGCGCCCGAAGCCUUCAGGCCGAGGGCACGCCUGCCUGGGCGUCACAC